GGUCGACUUUGCCUUUCAUCCUUUCGGGGUCGAUAAAUUAACCCCUUAGUAUUUUAACCCUCCAUAUCCGGCCAAAACUAUUCUGCUUGUUUUAUGUUCAAACUGGCCAGAUCUGGUCUCUCACACCAACCCUACAAUAUCAUUU